rnacentral:rRNA from 1 species
AGAGUUUGAUCCUGGCUCAGGAUGAACGCUGGCGGCGUGCUUAACACAUGCAAGUCGAACGAUGAUCCCCAGCUUGCUGCGGGGAUUAGUGGCGAACGGGUGAGUAACACGUGAGUAACCUGCCCUUAACUCUGGGAUAAGCCUGGGAAACUGGGUCUAAUACCGGAUAUGACUCCUCAUCGCAUGGUGGGGGGUGGAAAGCUUUUGUGGUUUUGGAUGGACUCGCGGCCUAUCAGCUUGUUGGUGAGGUAAUGGCUCACCAAGGCGACGACGGGUAGCCGGCCUGAGAGGGUGACCGGCCACACUGGGACUGAGACACGGCCCAGACUCCUACGGGAGGCAGCAGUGGGGAAUAUUGCACAAUGGGCGCAAGCCUGAUGCAGCGACGCCGCGUGAGGGAUGACGGCCUUCGGGUUGUAAACCUCUUUCAGUAGGGAAGAAGCGAAAGUGACGGUACCUGCAGAAGAAGCGCCGGCUAACUACGUGCCAGCAGCCGCGGUAAUACGUAGGGCGCAAGCGUUAUCCGGAAUUAUUGGGCGUAAAGAGCUCGUAGGCGGUUUGUCGCGUCUGCCGUGAAAGUCCGGGGCUCAACUCCGGAUCUGCGGUGGGUACGGGCAGACUAGAGUGAUGUAGGGGAGACUGGAAUUCCUGGUGUAGCGGUGAAAUGCGCAGAUAUCAGGAGGAACACCGAUGGCGAAGGCAG